GCGGCGCAGCGUGGAUUUUGGCAACUAAGGCAUGAUUAGCGGCGGGCGGACUACAUCGAGCGAUGUAGAUUUCGGACUUCGGCGGAUUGAGGUCUGGUGAGCGAUUGCUGGCCCCGGUGGCUAGGCGAGAGGUCAGAGGUGGAUGGGAUCGGCUGGCUGAAUCGACUCUGUAACAUCAGCGAACUUUGCAGCAUGUUGCCUCGGCGGCUGCGGCGCUGCGGGUAGCAUCCACAACAUGGUGAGCGGCGGGCAGCCUCAGCAUCUGCUGUAGUUUGUUUCACGGUGGGCGGAGCACGCCGGUGGGCAGUGUGUUCUGACGUAAGGUAUGGUGGUGGUGGUUCCUCUUCAGACUUUUUAUCAGCUAACAGGCUGAUCUGCUUGAACUGUACAAUGAGCAUCUUUGUUAUAGCCCAUGGUUCCUUUAUAUUCAAGUGUGUCCUCAUGUAUGCAUCGUGGAUGUCUGAUACGAAUUUGUGCUCCAUUCUGCCACUGGGCUCAUGUGCAUCGCAGCUUGCUGAAGCUGGCUGUGAGCUGCCUCGUGUACCAUUCAGGUUUCUACAGUUUUCAAUCCCUUUUGAUAUGUCUGGCUAUAUUUUCACCCAUGGAAUAUUUGUCUCUGAAUCAACUCAAAUGUUCAUGGAGCAGUUUACAAAAUCGUUCUUUCACUGUCUCGAUCUUGAUGCCAUUUCUUGGUGAAUUUUGCAUUUCCAAAGUAUUGACCUGUUAUCUACAAAAAUAUUUCAGCAAACAUUUGAGAGAAUUUCUUGUGUAUGGCAGCAGAGAAAUUGUUAACAAAAUGAAGAUAAAACGGUAAAACAGGUGAGACAUCGACCAUAAAAAGUGAAGCAUCUGCCUGCUUUGUGCUUUCACAUGAUAUAUCAAGCAACCAAAUGAUCCGUGCACAUAGGAAACAAACUGCCAGACUAGGGCUAACAUAUUUACCAUCGAUUGAAUGCAGAAAUAUGAAAGUGUUGAUAAAGAAAGGUCAUAAGGAAGGUAGUGUAGACGUUUCAACAAUCUUUUGUAAACUAGAUCUGGAGCUAAUUUGGUAGCCAGAGAAGUUCCUCACAAUCUUCUCUUCAGUUAGAGCUGCCAGCUAAUUUUGUGGGUAGGGUAUAUGUACACUUGAUAAAUUAUCCUGAAGAUGAUUUUGGGCUCAUAGGAUCUGACUAGCUUACAAAUCUGUUGAACUGUACUGAUUAUGAUGAUUUUUUUUUGCUCUUAUAGCGAUCAUAUAAUCUUCGUAAUGAUUUAAUUUUUUUCAAAUGAGAUUCUUCUAUUGGCAAUUCUAUUAAGAUUUUUUUUUGACUCUUAUGCUAAUUCUAUGUCCAUUUCGCUGAACGUCUUUUGAUGUUCAGAAUACUAAGGGGAAGUGCCUUGCGCCUGGAGCCGUGGAUACGAAAUGAAAAUUGAACCACAUGAUGUGGUUUGUAGUCCUUGGUGGUGGGACCUCAUUGCUGAUACAGGCUUUUGUAUCUGAAUGUGUGCAAGUCGUGCAACAUAGAUGUGGCAAACUUUGUGAUCUAUAUUCUCGAGAUAUCUCAAACAACAUUCUGCAGUUCGUUUUGGUUUGUGGCAAAGCGGGUGGAAGCGGGGAGUAACGUGGUGGGUGGUGGCUGUGGGCAUCUCUUGGGUGGGAUCGGCAUCUUUCUAAGUGGUUGGGUGGCGUCGGCGGGCACUGGCGCAGGCGGAUCACAUCGGUGGGCUUCGAUGUAAAGGCAUGCGGGUGGUCAAUCUUUCUUUGUUUUACCUUCUAUUGAGGGACCAAGAUGUCUGAGCAUGUGGUCCGGGCUACCUUAGUGACUGAAAAUGUAGUUGCUGGCGAGGAUGUUGCUACACCACCUACUACUUUUACUACAAACAAAACAACACCUAGAGGUUCAGAACCAGUAACAAAUGUUUGUGAAAAUAGGAGCAGGAAGACAGCGAUACCAAGGCUCAUGAAUAUGAGCACUAAGAUGUGGUGUCGAGAUUCGCCAAUCCAGGUUCCCAAGAUUAUUAUUUGCUCGUGAAAUUUGCACCUUUUAAGCAAGAUAUUACAGUCAAAAUUUUAUUUUCCCGUUUCAACUUAUGUCAUAGGUUGUUUUUGCUCAUAACACACCUGAACCAAUUUUAUUGCCCACUAAAUUAUUUUGUUUAACUUUAAUCUAGACGUGUGUAGCCUUCUGUAGUCCAUCUAUCUGAUUCACUUUCCAAUUUUUAUUUUUCCUUGCAAUUUGCUACAUGUUUCAAAACAGUUACAAUUUGUUUCGUUGACUUAUGUAGGUCACCUCUGCAUGUUCCUGUUGUUGGAUUAUCACUUCUCUUUCACAACAGAUCAACUAAAGGAUAUGUAAAUUGGUAAAUAUGAGUAUUUUAUCUCACCCGUUGUGAGGAUCCGGUAGCAGACUGAAGUCGCCAAUCAUGAGGAGUUCCUACCACAGCUAGCGUACUAAAGUUCGUUGCCUUUGUAAUAAUGAGCUAAUGUAUUUCUUUUACUUUCCCUAUUUUUUAUGAUUAAAUAUACUUACUCUAUUGUAUAGUAUUAAUAUUUCAUAACAAUGUAUUGCAUCAAUUGUACACUUGUUUAGUCACGGUUUAUAUGAUACAGUUUGUAGGAAA